AAUUUAAACCUCUAAACAUCGAGAGAAUUCAGGGGGAUCUUCUACCACCAGGCCCCAGCCAGUGCUGCUUGUGCAUGCUACGAGUACGACGUCGGCGGGGUCCCUCUGCCGUGGCCCUGGUCGCAAGUGGCCGUGGAACAGCAAAAGAAUCAAGUGGCAUUACAGAAAAGAGAGGGAGAAAAGCCUGAAAUAACUCGCAGCUCUACACUACAAUGAGAAUGCAGGACGAAGACAAUGCAGGACGGAGACAUGCUAGCCAGAACUAGAAAUGGAGACCUAAGAUUCUCAAUAGCACUUUAGAUACGCAAAGAAUGCAUGCAAAAUG